AUCUAUGCCUCUGUGGGACAAACCUUGCGGUCUUUGCAACAGAAAUAAUGGACCACAACCCCAUUCGGGUAACGAGCAAAAGCACUGUUUCAAAUUUUCU